GACGAACGCUGGCGGCGUGCUUAACACAUGCAAGUCGAACGCUGAAGCUUGGUGCUUGCACUGGGUGGAUGAGUGGCGAACGGGUGAGUAAUACGUGAGUAACCUGCCCUUGACUCUGGGAUAAGCCUGGGAAACUGGGUCUAAUACUGGAUACGACAUGUCACCGCAUGGUGGUGUGUGGAAAGGGUUUUACUGGUUUUGGAUGGGCUCACGGCCUAUCAGCUUGUUGGUGGGGUAAUGGCUCACCAAGGCGACGACGGGUAGCCGGCCUGAGAGGGUGACCGGCCACACUGGGACUGAGACACGGCCCAGACUCCUACGGGAGGCAGCACUGGGGAAUAUUGCACAAUGGGCGAAAGCCUGAUGCAGCGACGCCGCGUGAGGGAUGACGGCCUUCGGGUUGUAAACCUCUUUCAGCACGGAAGAAGCGAAAGUGACGGUACGUGCAGAAGAAGCGCCGGCUAACUACGUG
rnacentral:rRNA from 1 species